UACAGAGGUGGCAAGCGUUGUUCGGAAUUACUGGGCGUAAAGGGCGCGUAGGCGGCCUUCUAAGUCAGACGUGAAAUCCCCCGGCUUAACCUGGGAACUGCGUCUGAUACUGGGGGGCUUGAGUAUGGGAGAGGGAUGUAGAAUUCCAGGUGUAGCGGUGAAAUGCGUAGAUAUCUGGGGGAAUACCGGUGGCGAAGGCGGCAUCCUGGACCAUAACUGACGCUGAGGCGCGAAAGCUAGGGGAGCAAACGGG
rnacentral:rRNA from 1 species